rnacentral:rRNA from 1 species
UAGCAUAUCAAUAAGCGGAGGAAAAGAAACCAACAGGGAUUGCCUCAGUAACGGCGAGUGAAGCGGCAACAGCUCAAAUUUGAAAUCUGGCCGCAAGGUCCGAGUUGUAAUUUGUAGAGGAUGCUUUUGGCGAGGUGACUUCCGAGUUCCCUGGAACGGGACGCCAUAGAGGGUGAGAGCCCCGUACGGUCGUGCCACCGAGCCUCUGUAAAGCUCCUUCGACGAGUCGAGUAGUUUGGGAAUGCUGCUCUAAAUGGGAGGUGUACGUCUUCUAAAGCUAAAUACCGGCCAGAGACCGAUAGCGCACAAGUAGAGUGAUCGAAAGAUGAAAAGCACUUUGAAAAGAGGGUUAAAAAGUACGUGAAAUUGUUGAAAGGGAAGCAUUCAUGACCAGACUUGGGCUUGGUUGAACAUCCGGCGUUCUCGCCGGUGCACUCUGCCAGCUCAGGCCAGCAUCAGUUUGCCCCGGGGGAUAAAGGCGGCGGGAAUGUGGCUCCCUACGGGGAGUGUUAUAGCCCGUCGUGUAAUGCCCUGGGGUGGACUGAGGUUCGCGCUUCGGCACGGAUGCUGGCGUAAUGGUCAUCAAUGACCCGUCUUGAAACACGGACCAAGGAGUCGUCUUCGUAUGCGAGUGUUCGGGUGUCAAACCCCUACGCGUAAUGAAAGUGAACGUAGGUGAGAGCUUCGGCGCAUCACCGACCGAUCCUGAUGUUCUCGGAUGGAUUUGAGUAAGAGCAUACGGGGCCGGACCCGAAAGAAGGUGAACUAUGCCUGUAUAGGGUGAAGCCAGAGGAAACUCUGGUGGAGGCUCGCAGCGGUUCUGACGUGCAAAUCGAUCGUCAAAUAUGGGCAUGGGGGCGAAAGACUAAUCGA